rnacentral:rRNA from 1 species
UGUGGUGGCGAUAGCAAGAAGGAUACACCUGUUCCCAUGCCGAACACAGAAGUUAAGCUUCUUCACGCCGAGAGUAGUUG